UACGAAGGGGGCUAGCGUUGCUCGGAAUCACUGGGCCUAAAGCAUCCGUAGCCGGUUCUACAAGUCUUCCGUUAAAUCCACCUGCUUAACAGAUGGGCUGCGGAAGAUACUAUAGAGCUAGGAGGCGGGAGAGGCAAGCGGUACUCGAUGGGUAGGGGUAAAAUCCGUUGAUCCAUUGAAGACCACCAGUGGCGAAGGCGGCUUGCCAGAACGCGCUCAACGGUG
rnacentral:rRNA from 1 species